rnacentral:rRNA from 1 species
CACACCGCCCGUCACAUCAUGAAAGCCGGUUGUACCCGAAGUCCGCAAGCAAACCGCAAGGACGCGGCGGCCGAAGGUAUGGCUGGUGAUUGGGAUG